rnacentral:rRNA from 1 species
CCUACGGGAGGCAGCAGUGAGGAAUAUUGGUCAAUGGGCGGGAGCCUGAACCAGCCAAGUCGCGUGAGGGAAGACGGUCCUAUGGAUUGUAAACCUCUUUAGGCGGGGAGCAAUGCCGGGCACGCGUGCCCGGAGGGAGAGUACCCGCAGAAUAAGCAGCGGCUAACUCCGUGCCAGCAGCCGCGGUAAUACGGAGGAUGCGAGCGUUAUCCGGAUGUAUUGGGUUUAAAGGGUGCGUAGGCGGAUUUUUAAGUCAGCGGUAAAAUGUCCGGGCUCAACCCGGGCCGGCCGUUGAAACUGGGGAUCUUGAGUGGGCGAGAAGUAUGCGGAAUGCGUGGUGUAGCGGUGAAAUGCAUAGAUAUCACGCAGAACUCCGAUUGCGAAGGCAGCAUACCGGCGCCCGACUGACGCUGAGGCACGAAAGCGUGGGGAUCGAACAGGAUUAGAUACCCUAGUAGUC